GCCAAGUGAAGACACAGAGGGACACACAGAAAACUCCAUGUGAAGAUGGAGGCAGAGACUGGAGUAAUGAGCCUACAAGCCACGGAACACCAAGUAUUGCCAGCAACCACCAGAAGCUGGAAAAGGCAAGGUCAGAUUCUUCUCUAGUCCCUCCAGCAGGAACACGGCCCGGCAGAAACAUUUACUGGUGCACACCGCUCAAGAAAUAGACUUCAUCGGCCUCACCAACACCUACAUGGCAAAACGAACGCUUGAGGACCUGAAGCCGGCUCCCUUCCUCACUCACCUGCUGGGCGGGAAGCCCCGCCGGGCGGAGCUCGGGUCCCCUCAGGAUCUGCCCCUCCAUCACCAGCGCCACAGCCAGGGCCGCCGCCACUCUUCCAAAGCCACCUGAAGAAGCUGCUCAGUGUCCUAACAAGGUCAUAUUCUGAUGCUCACUUUGAAUGUGUCCAAAAAGGAAAAUGGAAAAGACAGCAUUUUUCAAAGGUUAGAACAGAGAGCCAUGGAGAAUAAAUGGACUGGGAAGCCCCUUCCGGGUCUAAUCAAGGAACAUUUCUCUCGUCUUGGGAUAAAGGAUCCUUACAAUAUCUGCCUACUGGGAUUUCACACCUGCUACACACCAGCAACUGCUGUGUCUCCUAUUUUUCUCCAGGGAAUAGUUAUUGAGGUUACCCUGAACACAAGUUUACCAGUGUACACUGGAUGUUUAGGGAACUGAUGACUUGCCUUUUUAGUUCAUAAGUUUUUUGGAUCAAGCAGAGCCACACUCAGACAUGAAGCAUGUUUCUUCCUGAUGUAGGGACUACACUGUAUCACCCAUAGAUUCUGCUCUUUGAACUUGAUGUUCUCAUUGAAAGGCACUUCUGGGUCUUCUCCUUCAGGGACAGGUUUGCCUGUUUGCAGUUAACUGCGCCUAUGAGCCAUGCUUUGGCUGAUGAACCAUGAGCAGAAGUGUCUGUGCAGCAGCUUUAAGAGAAAGUAUGUGAUUUGCUAUAAUUUUCUUUCCCUCUGUCCCAGUGACAGGCAACCUAAUAGAUAGUGGAUGGUACAAAAUCCUGGGUUUCGGAGUGAGAGAACUGGAGAACCCACAGACAUCUAUUGAUGGACAUAUAUUAGGAGCAAGAAAUACAUCUUUGUUGUUUUGAGCCUCUGGAUCUGGGGAUUGUUUGUCACUACAGCAUUACCUAGCGCAUCCUGAUUGAUACAAGUACCAAACUAAGAGAUGGUAUUUAAACUAUAGUCUUAGCCCUGCCACCGAAUAUCUAUGCACCAAGUCACUUGACAUCUGUAAAUGUAAGUUUCAUCACUUGUGAUAUAGGAUUAAUCAUUCUUCCCUUGUCACUGGAUUUUUUUUUUUUUUGGUAUCCAGUAUUUGUGAAAGUGUUUGAAAAAUGUAAAGCAUGUGCAAAUAUAUGCCAGUAGUAUCAUUAACAACACUGAAUUGGUUUAUUCUCCCCUGUAUAAUCCUAAUCCCAGGAAGAAAACAUUAGGGAAGUUAUGAAAACUCUAGAUUUAAAUCAGAUAACAGUGGAAUGAAUGACUUGAUAAUUUCAGCAUGAAGUAGUAAUAUUUCCAUCUAAAGUAGCUAAAUAACUAUGCACACCUUCUUUUACAACCAUAAACUUCUUUAAAGAGUCUUUAAUGCUUUUGAAAUUUUAUUGUAAGUUAAAAAGUUGUGACUAACAAAAGUAAAACCAAAGGUAAUUUUAGAAGAAAAAUGUUUAUUUUGGCCUUAGAAUAUAUUACAUUUUUGUUUUGUGUGAUGUCAAGGUGAGCACUGAGUUGGCUUGUUUACCACAAAUUUCAGAGUCAAGCUUAUUAAACUGCUUUGUUUUCAAACUCCAUCUGCCUUUCCUUCACCCCUGCAUUCUGAGUUCGAAGGGCUUGACGCUUGUCUUCCAUUGAGAUCCUCACAUUAGAAAGAAUGAAUCAUAGAGUCCUGUAAAAAUGCCGUUUCUAUUAUUUUCUGAAAACCUAAAGGCAGGAGAAUCCUUUGACCACUUUGCAAAGUGUGUGAGCCAGUUGAGAUGUUCUUCACUGGUUAACAAUGGCCGUAAACUGGUCACUAGAGCUGUCCGUGAGAGAGAAUUCUGGGUCUCAUGGGAAUGUUAUUUUUGGCUUGCCAUUUGCUGUGUUAUGAAUGGCCAGGCAGGUAGGGUGGGGCUCCAUGCUAAUUCUAUAAAGUGCUAGGUUGACUGGUGCUAUCACAGUAAUGAUGAUGAUGUGUGAUGAAUAAUUAUACAUGAAACGCUGAGUUACUUCUUCAAAUCAUUUCUCUGCUACUUACAGAAAAAUAUUCAUUUUGUAAAACAUGUGCUAAACUCUUUAGUUGAAAUAAGUAAAGUAUAGAAUAGUAUAUAGUAUAGCAUUAACAAGAAACUUGCCACUUGUAACUCAAAUAAUGUGGCUCUAAGUUCUUGAAAGGACAUUUGUGCAUGCCAAAGCAUAUAGUCAUUAGAUGUACAUCUGUAUUUUUUAGGUCCUAACAAUAUCUUCAUCUUUUGGAGUUUCAUUUUGUUGCUUUGUAGAUGUUAGUAUAACAAUGUCACUCUUUCUCCCUAGCAUAGUAUAAAUAAAACCUGAGAUUUUUACAUGCAGGUUUAAUGUGUAGCUUCCUUAAUGUGUAGCUCUAAAUACUUUGAAGAAUUCUAUGUACUAAUCAUACACUUGGUUUAUACUUGAAAAAUAUCUAACCAAAAUAUUCUUUUAAAUGUUGCUGUACUGAGAAAGGAUAUUUAUACUAAAUAGAAAAGAUGAGGUAGUUUCCCUGUUGAAAGAAUUUUCUUCCCAAUGCCUAAUAUCUUAUUUUU